rnacentral:rRNA from 1 species
CAGCUUGAUCCAGUUAGAGUUAAACAGAGCCGGCCAACCCGGUGCCAGCCGCCGCGGCUAUACCGUCGGGCCCAAGUUGACAAGUAUCGGCGUUAAGCGUGUUUAAAGUGCCCCUACAAAUUAGAGUUAAACUUCAACCAAGUUGUGACACACUUGUUAUUAAGAAACCCAAAAACGAAAGUUACUCUAACCAAACCACUUGAAUCCACGACAGCUAGGACACAAACUGGGAUUAGGUACCCCACUAUGCCUAGCCGUAAAACAUUUAUUCACAUUCUUAGCCGCCAGGGAAUUACGAGCCCAAGCUUAAAACCCAAAGGACUUGACGGUGUCCCACCCACCUAGAGGAGCCUGUUCUAUAAUCGAUUCUCCCCGAUAAACCUCACCACUUCUAGCCUACUCAGCCUGUAUACCUCCGUCGUAAGCUUACCAUAUGAACGUUUGAAUUAGUGAGCCAAAAGAUUUAAUCAUCAAUACGUCAGGUCAAGGUGCAGCUCACGAAGCGGGAAGCAAUGGGCUACAGUUUCUAACUUAGAACAAACGAAAGACUACAUGAAACACAGUCAUGAAGGCGGAUUUAGUAGUAAAAAGAAAACAGAGAG